rnacentral:rRNA from 1 species
CGGCGAGUGAAGCGGCAACAGCUCAAAUUUGAAAUCUGGCUUUCGGGUCCGAGUUGUAAUUUGUAGAGGAUGCUUUUGGCGCGGUGCCUUCCGAGUUCCCUGGAACGGGACGCCGUAGAGGGUGAGAGCCCCGUACGGUUGGCCACCAAGCCUCUGUAAAGCUCCUUCGACGAGUCGAGUAGUUUGGGAAUGCUGCUCUAAAUGGGAGGUAAAUUUCUUCUAAAGCUAAAUAUUGGCCAGAGACCGAUAGCGCACAAGUAGAGUGAUCGAAAGAUGAAAAGCACUUUGAAAAGAGGGUUAAACAGCACGUGAAAUUGUUGAAAGGGAAGCGUUUGCGACCAGACCUUUUCCUGGCGGAUCAUCCGGUGUUCUCACCGGUGCACUUCGCCAGGUUGAGGCCAGCAUCGGUUUCCGCGGGGGGACAAAAGCUCGGGGAAUGUGGCUCCUCCGGGAGUGUUAUAGCCCCUUGCAUAAUACCCUCUUGGGGACCGAGGACCGCGCUUUGGCAAGGAUGCUGGCGUAAUGGUCGUCAACGACCCGUCUUGAAACACGGACCAAGGAGUCGAACAUUUGUGCGAGUGUUUGGGUGUUAAACCCUCACGCGUAAUGAAGGUGAACGUAGGUGAGAGCCUCCCCGCGGGGCGCAUCAUCGACCGAUCCUGAUGUCUUCGGAUGGAUUUGAGUAAGAGCAUAACUGUUCGGACCCGAAAGAUGGUGAACUAUGCGUGGAUAGGGUGAAGCCAGAGGAAACUCUGGUGGAGGCUCGCAGCGGUUCUGACGUGCAAAUCGAUCGUCAAAUCUGCGCAUGGGGGCGAAAG